ACACCAUUGGUUUUUGACAACCCACGAAUCUCUCCCAGGCUUCACUGAAGCCUUCCAAGUUCUUCUGUUGAAAGCUGGAAAUCUCAUUUCUCAGCUU
rnacentral:snoRNA from 1 species